rnacentral:lncRNA from 1 species
CGGCUCUGGCCUACACAGAGGGGAACAACAGAUCUCAUCUCAAACAAGCAUCUUUUUACUCCCUAUGAUAGUCAAGGCAUCAUUGUACUGAAACAACAUCAAGGCAAAGCAUUGGACCACCAGGUGUCUCAGGCUAGCUCAUGCUGAUAAAAGAUGUGGAGGCAAGUAAGGAAGCACGAGAUUGACUCACAGGAACCACAGACCUUUCAUUUUCUGAGCCUGUUCUUCCCAGGAUCUGUUGCUGAUGACAAUACCAGGAGAGCAGAGUUUCAGAAGACCCACGGGGCUUGGCCCACUGCCUGGGAAGAGGCAUAGCCAGCCUGGGAAUUGAUUUGAAUGUAAUGAACCUUCUGUCUCAUCUGGUACUUUCAGAAGAAUUUGCAGAGUCAAUAGAUGUGGAGCUACCUCUCCAGCCUUCUGUCUGCCUGCAGGUGUCUAUGCGUCCCACCAUGAUGACACUGUACUAAACCUCUGAAACGUAAGUGCAUAUCCAUUGUGACUGGGCAGUGGCGAAUCUAAGAAGCGGUGCGACAGAGCUGUCAAACAAAGAAAGAACACAGAAGUCUGGAGAAGAGAAGUGGUGUCAGUGGAUGAGCAGAGAAUGAUGCCAUUGCACCCCUGCCAUUGUGUGUAGACCUUAGGUCAGACUCAGGACCGUGUGCCCAGGAGAUAGCAGAGCCCAGAGCAGGAUGAACACUUCUACACCAAUUAAGAUAAUCAAGACAAUCUCUCACAGACAUGUCCACCGACUAACAAUGAUAAAGGGCCACUGACUCAAUUAAGAUUUUUUCCCAGUUAAUUCUGAACUAUAUCAAGUUGACAACGUUAACUAGGAACAGCGAUGAUGAGAGAAAUGACUAUGGGGGGGGGGGACAGACACUGCAUGUUUGCUAUGCAUGGUGGGAGUCAAAGGGCAAGGAACAGGAAAUGGCUUCUCCAAGGCAGUAAAAUUUAAAAUGAGGCUUAAGGUUACCCGGUGAAGACCGUUUCUGACUAUGAGAACAUAGGCAACAUGGGUGGAAAAGAGUGGGUGUGGAAGGCAGUAGGUUUUGUGGGACAUGGCUAGGAGUUAAGACUUGCUGCCUUUUAGUAUGAAGAUAUGUCACAUCAUACAAAUUAUGGGCUUCUGAUAAUUUUUUUCAUUUGAUAGCUUCACCCAUUUAUAUAAUUAGUUUGAGUCAUCUUGGGCCCCAUUUCCUUCCCUCAUUCCUUUCCUUUUCUUUCUGGAGACCUUGUCACCAAGGUUCCCUCUGGCUUCCAUGCCUUUAUUCUAUGUGUAGUUCACUGAGAGUUGCUUUUCUAAGUGUGGGUUGCAGUGGGGUGCGGGUAUUUACUGGCUCAAUAGCAAGUUGUCUGUGGGUACAUCACUGAGGAAAAUGGCACCUCUCCAAGACAGCCAUCAAUUGACAAUAGUGAAUUUUGUUUUUGAAACAAGUUUUCUGGUUGCUUCAUAGAGGAUGCAUUGUUGCCAUGAUCCACAUAAAGCCUUGAAAAUAUUUGAUGAUGUUAGUGGCUUAGAGCACAGAGAUCAUGGAAGUAUCAAUCUUAGUACAUGCGAAUGUGACAACUUGGUCUAGGUGGUCUGUUCUUUGUAUGCAAUGAUAUCCCACUGUUGGGACCUAUUAAGACAACACUAUUGUCCUGAUCUCUGAAUUGGGCCACUCCCCCCAAGAAGAAAAGGGGGUCAAAAGCGGGCCACCGACGCACCGUUCCGUGCACAACCACAGAAUGUUCCAGCCCUAAGUCCGCGCCAGAUGUCCUGACCACACCCUGAUACCACCAAGUUCCUGCUUCCUCGAGUAACUGCCAAAAGAAAAAUUUCCACUGCCCCACCCCUCCUGCUGAGAAGUACUUCCCCUUUUGCUUGAGCAUUUAAGCCUUGAGCCUUUCUGAAUAAAACGGGACCUUGAUGCC